rnacentral:misc_RNA from 1 species
UUAAAAUAUAUAUAUCGUUACAUCUUUUGGUGUUGCGGAUCUGGGUUAUCCGGUUUUAAGUCGGUUACCUAAAAUUAAGGAUUAUAUAAUGUGAUACGUACUAAGAUAAAGUCGUUAAUCAUUACUUUUAUUACAUUAUUACCAAAUACAUUUGGUUGGUGGUGUAUAAUUUCUGA